GGUCCGUUGGUCAAGGGGUUAGGACACCGCCUUUUCACGGCGGUAACACGGGUUCGAAUCCCGUACGGACUA
rnacentral:tRNA from 2 species